rnacentral:rRNA from 1 species
UGGGGAAUAUUGCACAAUGGGCGCAAGCCUGAUGCAGCCAUGCCGCGUGUAUGAAGAAGGCCUUCGGGUUGUAAAGUACUUUCAGCGAGGAGGAAGGCGUUGUGGUUAAUAACCGCAGCGAUUGACGUUACUCGCAGAAGAAGCACCGGCUAACUCCGUGCCAGCAGCCGCGGGAAUACGGAGGGUGCAAGCGUUAAUCGGAAUUAGUGGGCGUAAAGCGCACGCAGGCGGUCUGUCAAGUCGGAUGUGAAAUCCCCGGGCUCAACCUGGGAACUGCAUCCGAAACUGGCAGGCUAGAGUCUUGUAGAGGGGGGUAGAAUUCCAGGUGUAGCGGUGAAAUGCGUAGAGAUCUGGAGGAAUACCGGUGGCGAAGGCGGCCCCCUGGACAAAGACUGACGCUCAGGUGCGAAAGCGUGGGGAGCAAACA